rnacentral:rRNA from 1 species
UUAAAGUUGUUGAGGUUAAAAAGCUCGUAGUUGAACCUUGGGCCUAGCCGGCCGGUCCGCCUCACCGCGUGCACUGGCUCGGUUGGGCCUUUCUUUCUGGAGAACCCCAUGUCCUUCACUGGGUGUGGUGGGGAACCAGGACUUUUACCGUGAACAAAUCAGAUCGCUUAAAGAAGGCCUAUGCUCGAAUGUAUUAGCAUGGAAUAAUG